UGUUAAACUAUUUUUAAUGCAUAUAGUAAAUAGUAUACAAAUAUAUUUAUAUAAUAAUAAGCUGACUAGCAAUUUUGACCACAACAAGUACAAAUUCCUAUGGUCAUAGACCGAAUUUAGAGCAAGUAUGUCAUUAUUUGUUACAUAUACAAUCUCAGACAUAAUGGCUGUAGUAUAAAAAUUGAGGCUGUACAAUUUCAAAUAUUUGACUUUGCAAUAUGAAUGAUGUC
rnacentral:lncRNA from 1 species